AUGAUCCUUUGUGGCUCAAGAUCA
rnacentral:siRNA from 1 species